AGAUUUUGAUCAUGGCUCAGGAUGAACGCUAGCUACAGGCUUAACACAUGCAAGUCGAGGGGCAGCAUUUUAGUUUGCUUGCAAACUGAAGAUGGCGACCGGCGCACGGGUGAGUAACACGUAUCCAACCUGCCGAUAACUCCGGAAUAGCCUUUCGAAAGAAAGAUUAAUACCGGAUAGCAUACGAAUAUCGCAUGAUAUUUUUAUUAAAGAAUUUCGGUUAUCGAUGGGGAUGCGUUCCAUUUAG
rnacentral:rRNA from 1 species